GAUGAACGCUGGCGGCGUGCCUAAUACAUGCAAGUCGAGCGAACAGACGAGGAGCUUGCUCCUCUGACGUUAGCGGCGGACGGGUGAGUAACACGUGGAUAACCUACCUAUAAGACUGGGAUAACUUCGGGAAACCGGAGCUAAUACCGGAUAAUAUAUUGAACCGCAUGGUUCAAUAGUGAAAGACGGUUUUGCUGUCACUUAUAGAUGGAUCCGCGCCGCAUUAGCUAGUUGGUAAGGUAACGGCUUACCAAGGCAACGAUGCGUAGCCGACCUGAGAGGAUGAUCAGCCACACUGGAACUGAGACACGGUCCAGACUCCUACGGGAGGCAGCAGUAGGGAAUCUUCCGCAAUGGGCGAAAGCCUGACGGAGCAACGCCGCGUGAGUGAUGAAGGUCUUCGGAUCGUAAAACUCUGUUAUUAGGGAAGAACAAAUGUGUAAGUAACUAUGCACGUCUUGACGGUACCUAAUCAGAAAGCAACGGCUAACUACGUG
rnacentral:rRNA from 1 species